rnacentral:lncRNA from 1 species
UAAUGAAGGAAGCAUGGUAAUGUGCACGGAGAGUGAGCAACUUUUAGGUCGUCAUGUCUGCUCCCUCUGAAUUUCUCUGAUUUGGGGGCCUGGAUUAGACCUACACUUCCUUUUUUGUUUAAAAUAAUUGAAUAUAUUAUAAGAACCUGAUGUAUAAAAGCAGGGAUCGAUUGCCUUUGUGAAUUGAUCUCCCGUAAGCUUCAGGGAAAUAGAGUGGGCAUCGUUAUUGGGUGAACCUCUUGAUCUUUUCAUGACGGAUAAGGUUCAGUAAACGAAGCUAUAUUU